CAGUAGCCACGGUAAUACGUAGGGUGAAAGCGUUAAUCGGAAUUACUGGGCGUAAAGCGUGCGCAGGCGGUUAUAUAAGACAGAUGUGAAAUCCACGGGCUCAACCUGGGAACUGCAUUUGUGACUGUAUAGCUAGAGUACGGCAGAGGGGGAUGGAAUUCCGCGUGUAGCAGUGAAAUGCGUAGAUAUGCGGAGGAACACCGAUGGCGAAGGCAAUCCCCUGGGCCUGUACUGACGCUCAUGCACGAAAGAGUGGGGAGCAAACAGGAUUAGAUACCCCUGUAGUCCCUGUCUCUUAUAC
rnacentral:rRNA from 1 species